rnacentral:lncRNA from 1 species
CCCCCCGCAGCGCCAUGGUCGGCUCCGCGCACGCGCGGCCCCUCAGGCGGCCCCCUGGCGACGGCGGCGUGCGGGCGGGGCGUUGCCGGGGGCGCCCCCCCCGCCGCGCCCCCAUGGCCGCCGCCGCCCGCCCGCGCCAUGCAGCGGCCGCGCGGCCCCGCGGGUGACGGCGCCGGGCGGGGAGCGGCCCCCGGGGAGCGGCCCGGGCCCGGCCACGGCCACGGGCGGGCGCUGGAGGAGCCGGAGGAGCCGGCGGCGCUGAGGCGGGAGCGGCGCCGCCUCCUGCUGCGCCUGCUGCGGGCCGCCGGGCCCCGGCCCCUGCUGGGGCUGCUGCUGCGGGACCGGCGCCUGAGGCGCGGCGUCGCCGGGGAGCGGCGGGAGGCGCCGGGCGCCGGCCCCGCGGCGCUGCUCGGGCGGCCCGGGGAGGAGCCGGAGGGCGGCGGGGACGGGGCGCUGCGGGCCCUGCGGGCGCGGCUGGGCGGGGAGGCCGAGCCCGGGCUGCCGCCGCCCCCGCCCCUGCCCCCGGCCGGGCACGGCGCGGGAGCCGCCGCGGGCCGGCUGCUGGCGGGCAGCAGGGCCCGGAGCGCGCACGGCUGCUGCGGGCACCGCGCCGCGGACACCCCGCGGGCCGCCGAGCGGGGAGCGAGCCCGAGGAGAGUGCUGAGCGCCAGCAAGGGGAGGAACAAGCUGCCGUGGGACGGCCGGCGCGCCGCGGGCGAGGAGGGCGGCUCGGGAGGCGCGAUGCCCUCCGCCAAGGGCGUGCAGCAGUUCCCUCCGUCCAGUGACUUCCUUCAUUCUCCAAAGCUGAGGCUGUCUCAAGGAACACCAGGCAGUGAGGAGUUAUUUUUUAGUAGAAAAAGGCUGCCGAGGAGUUUGUUUCAGAACAGCGUAGAUUUUAACUCUGAGCAUUCUUCUGUUUGUGCCGGUGCUAUGGGCUCUCACCAGCCGCAUAUUUCAGGGAAAUGUGGAACACUUGGAUGCACACAGACACGUGGGAAGAGUGGUAGUGUGGACUCUGAUUUACAGUUUUUAGGAUUAAAUGACAGUCAGCAGGACAAAGGUAUAUGGAUUUUAACUGUCAUGUGUCAGUGCAUGUCACUUGGGAAACGUCUCUUCUGUGCUGCCUUAAGAAAUAAAAACAAUUAUCAAAAUGUUGUUCUGUCCCUACACAAACACGUUUCCCACAGUUAUUUUACUGGGCAGGUUUGCAGGGCACUGCCACGUCAGGCCAUUCUUGCUGCUAGGGACGACUCGCAGGAGAAACACUCCCCUCUGCAGCUGAAGCCCGCCUUGGUGAGACACCCAGCUUCCCGCAGAGGCCUGAAUGGGAUCAGACCCGUGCCCCCCAUACCGCGGCUCGCCAGCCCGCUGCCCGAUAAGAUCGAGUUAAGUGUGACAAAGUGGAAAAACGAGGAGUGUGAGGACACGUGGGUGAAUGGAGUGGGCAGGAAGCUUGCAGCUGAUCUUUCAGAGCUAACUCUUGAUGGCGAGGAAGUGGACCAAGAAGAGAUGCAAAGUUCACUUAGAUCUCUACGAAAUAGUGCAGCUAAGAAGAGGGCAAAGCUAACCAGCAACAUUUCAGAUCUUGAAAGUCCCGAUUCUGCUCUUAAACUCGACCUGUCUGGGGAUUCCCCUUCCCAUGCUUCCUCGCCAAGUGUGGGCUCCUGUAGCGAAAGCGGAGUCUACAGCCAGGAGUCUCUGACGUCUCCUAUAUCCACGGUUCCUCAGAGAAAGAGAAUAAUUGUCUUGUCUGAAGAUGCGGUUGUAGUUGUUGGUAAAGGUGUUUUUGGAAGUCCUUCUUCUGCUCAAACACAAAGCCAGCCCAUAGCAUGUGCAGAGAAUGGAGACGACCAGUCUGUCAAACAGGAGACUGAGCCACCCUCAGGGAUCUGUAGGAGAAGCAUCCAGCAGAGCAGUGCUUCUCAUUUCCACGCUGAAAAUGAAAAAGAGAUAAAAGUGGCCUUGUCAAAAUCUGUCCAGGAUAAGAUGCGGCAGAAGAAAAAAGAAGGAAAAGAACAAAAUCACAAAGAACAUCAGGAAGUCAAAGACCUUGAAGAAAAGGAAGAAAAUUCUUGGGAAAGACUUAAACUAAAUGAACCAGAGAAAACAACAACAGAAAAUGAAAUUUCUCUUGGGCCACGAGGACGCUAUAAAGAGCGGACCCCAUCAGUCACUCAUAGUCCAGAAAUAAUGGAUCCGUCAGAACUGCAGCCCUUUUCAAAACCAGAAACGGCACUGACAGAAGCCCUGGUACUUUUAGCUGAUGAUGACUGGGAGAAGAAGAUUGAAGGUCUGAACUUUGUUAGAUGUUUGUCUGCCUACCAUGCAGCUAUUCUGACUGUAAAGCUUCAUGAAACAAGUCUGGCUGUGGCUCAAGAGGUCAAGAAUUUACGCUCAGGUGUUUCUCGAGCUGCUGUGGUCUGUUUAGGGGAUUUGUUCACCCACCUGAAAAAGAGCAUGGAUCAAGAACUAGAUAAUACAGUAAAAGUCCUUUUGCACAAAGCUGGUGAAUCCAACACAUUUAUAAGGGAAGAGGUAGACAAAGCACUGAAGGCUAUGGUUAAUAAUGUGACUCCAGCACGUGCACUUUGUUCUCUUAUAAAUGGAGGGCAAAGCCACCUGCACGCGGCGGUGAGGAGAUGCACAGCCCAGCACAUGUCGGAUAUUGUAGAGCGUAUGGGACCGGAGUGGAUGCUGGCUGGAACCAAAGUUGUCACUGAUAGGAUUUUCCCUGCAAUAGCCAGGUUUACACUGGAUAGUUCCCAGCAAACAAGGUAUUAUGGUCGAAAGAUGCUUUUCAGUAUGAUGAAUCAUCCUGAUUUUGAUAAAACACUUGAAAAAUAUGUGCCAGCCAAGGAUUUGCCUUACAUUAAGGAAUUUGUUAGCAAUCUACGUCAAAAGGGUUUGGGGGAGAUGCCAUUAGACACACCCUCAGCGAAAGGAAGACGUUCUCAUACUAGUAUUGUUGGGCAUUCAAGGUCAUCAUCUACUUCCAGAGAUGCUCUCAGCAUCACUGACAGAGAGACUACGGAAGCCCGUGAAGUUACAAGAAAAGCAGCUCCUCGUAAUUCAAUAGAAAGUGAAGAGUAUGUUAAAGACAUUAUAGGUUUAUUGAAUGCAAAAGACUUCCGUGAUCGAAUAAAUGGAAUUAAUCAGCUGUUAUCAGAUACAGAGAAGAAUCAAGACUUUGUUGUUGCAAACAUCGUGAAGAUCUUUGAUGCUUUCAAGCCUCGCUUACAUGACUCAAACAGUAAAGUAAAUCAGGUUGCUUUGGAGACAAUGUACAAGAUGAUUCCACUGCUGAAAGACAAUUUAUCUCCGGUGAUCAACAUGUUGGUUCCUGCAAUGGUAGACAACAACCUAAACUCCAAAAAUCCAGGGAUUUAUGCAGCUGCCACAAAUGUUAUUCAGGCUCUAUGUCAACACUUAGACAACUAUUUGCUUCUCCAGCCAUUCUGCACAAAAGCCCAGUUUCUGCAUGGAAAAGCAAAACAAGACAUCACAGAAAAGCUUGCUGAUCUGGUGGCGGAGCUGUACCCGCGGAAGCCGCAGGCCGUGGAGCAGAAGGUCCUGGCCGUGCUCUGGCACCUGCUGGGCACGGCGAGCAGCGGCGGCCCCGCACCGGGGGCCGGGGGCAGCAUCCGGGCGGCCACGGCCAAGCUGUCCCGGGCCCUGUUCGCGCAGAUGGGCCCCGGGCUGCUGGCACGCGCCGCCGCGCAGCCCCCGCACGUCAGGAGGAGCCUGGAGGAGUUCCUGGAGCUGCCGGCCUGA